GGCCGCAGUAUUUUAACUGUGCAAAGGUAGCAUAAUCAUUAGUUUUUUAAUUGAAAACUGGAAUGAAUGGUUGAACGAAAAAUUAACUGUUUUUUAAAAAUAUAUAAAAUUUUAUUUUUUAGUUAAAAAGCUAAAAUUUGUAUAAAAGACGAGAAGACCCUAUAAAUCUUUAUAUUUAAAUUAUUAAAAUUUUAUUGAAUUAUUUUAUUUUUAUAAUUAAUAAUAUUUUAUUGGGGUGAUAGUAAAAUUUAAUAAACUUUUAAUAAAAUUAUACAUUAAUUAAUGAAUUAUUGAUCCAUUAUUAUUGAUUAAAAGAAUAAGUUACUUUAGGGAUAACAGCGUUAUUUUUUUGAAGAGUUCAUAUCGAUAAAAAAGAUUGCGACCUCGAUGUUGGAUU
rnacentral:rRNA from 1 species